GACGAACGCUGGCGGCGUGCUUAACACAUGCAAGUCGAACGGAAAGGCCCUGCUUUUGUGGGGUGCUCGAGUGGCGAACGGGUGAGUAACACGUGAGUAACCUGCCCUUGACUUUGGGAUAACUUCAGGAAACUGGGGCUAAUACCGGAUAGGAGCUCCUGCUGCAUGGUGGGGGUUGGAAAGUUUCGGCGGUUGGGGAUGGACUCGCGGCUUAUCAGCUUGUUGGUGGGGUAGUGGCUUACCAAGGCUUUGACGGGUAGCCGGCCUGAGAGGGUGACCGGCCACCAUGGGACUGAGAUACGGACCAGACUUCUACCGGGGGCAGGAGGUGGGAAUUAUGCACAAUGGGCGGAAGCCUGAUGCAGCAACGCCGCGUGCGGGAUGACGGCCUUCGGGUUGUAAACCGCUUUCGCCUGUGACGAAGCGUGAGUGACGGUAAUGGGUAAAGAAGCACCGGCUAACUACGUG
rnacentral:rRNA from 1 species